AGCGAACGCUGGCGGCAGGCCUAACACAUGCAAGUCGAACGAACUCUUCGGAGUUAGUGGCGGACGGGUGAGUAACACGUGGGAACGUGCCUUUAGGUUCGGAAUAGCUCCUGGAAACGGGUGGUAAUGCCGAAUGUGCCCUUCGGGGGAAAGAUUUAUCGCCUUUAGAGCGGCCCGCGUCUGAUUAGCUAGUUGGUGGGGUAAUGGCCCACCAAGGCUACGAUCAGUAGCUGGUCUGAGAGGAUGACCAGCCACAUUGGGACUGAGACACGGCCCAAACUCCUACGGGAGGCAGCAGUGGGGAAUCUUGCGCAAUGGGCGAAAGCCUGACGCAGCCAUGCCGCGUGUAUGAUGAAGGUCUUAGGAUUGUAAAAUACUUUCACCGGUGAAGAUAAUGACUGUAGCCGGAGAAGAAGCCCCGGCUAACUUCGUGCCAGCCGCCGCCGUAAGAC
rnacentral:rRNA from 1 species